rnacentral:rRNA from 2 species
UAGGGAAUCUUCGGCAAUGGGGGGAACCCUGACCGAGCAACGCCGCGUGAGUGAAGAAGGUUUUCGGAUCGUAAAGCUCUGUUGUUAAGGAAGAACGAGUGUGAGAAUGGAAAGUUCAUGCUGUGACGGUACUUAACCAGAAAGGGACGGCUAACUACGUGCCAGCAGCCGCGGUAAUACGUAGGUCCCGAGCGUUGUCCGGAUUUAUUGGGCGUAAAGCGAGCGCAGGCGGUUAGAAAAGUCUGAAGUGAAAGGCAGUGGCUCAACCAUUGUAGGCUUUGGAAACUGUUUAACUUGAGUGCAGAAGGGGGGGGUGGAAUUCCAUGUGUAGCGGUGAAAUGCGUAGAUAUAUGGAGGAACACCGGUGGCGAAAGCGGCUCUCUGGUCUGUAACUGACGCUGAGGCUCGAAAGCGUGGGGAGCGAACAGG